rnacentral:rRNA from 1 species
AUGGUCGGAGGGGAUCACCUCACGCCGCUCUCACAUCUCCUUCUUCUUCUUCUUCUUCUUCAAGGCGGCGGCGGCGGCGGCGGCGCCCCCGUCGUCGUCGCAGACGCCGCGCGUGCCGUAGCAGUGCAGGAACACCCAGAGCAGCGCGGCGUUGAGCAGCGUGUUGACCACCCAGGCCCCGAUGCCGCUGCACCCGCCGGCCAUCGCGCCCCCGAAGUGCAUCCACACCACCCCCGCGUGGCACACCAGGUUGCACCCCAGCAGCCCGAGCUGGCACCCCAGCGCCACGGGCGCCGACCCGCUCCGGGCGGCGCGCGCCGCCGGGAGCCCCGCGCUGUCGACCCAGAAGCGGAACCCGAAGGCGACGGCGUGGGCGAGCGUGGAGGCGAGGAUGGCCAGCACCUGGAACGACUGCGAGAACUCGAGCCACAGGAAGGCCAUGGCCACGGACGCGGCGUGCGCGAACACCCGGGCGGCCGCCCCGCGCCGGCGCCUGACCACCGCGAACGCGCCCCGGGCCGCGUGGAGGUACCGGGAGAGGUAGUAGGCGUAGGACCAGAAGAAGACGCGGCCGGACGAGCGGGUCCCCGGCGGGAAGCAGAGGAGCCACCGGAGCGGCGUCGUCCGGCUCCGGCCCCGCCACGACCAGCGCGUGUCCCGAAUCUCCGCCACCGCCGACAGCAGCGUGCCGGCGAAGAUGGUGGCCGAGACGGCGGCCAUGAGGAGCGCGUGCGCGGGGGGGAGGGGCCCGAGAGGGAGCGGCUUCCGGCGGCGGAGGAGCGCGUCGGCGGCGAGGCAGAGGGACACGUAGGUGGCGAGGAAGCCGAGGAGGAAGGCCCAGGUGGAGAACCAGAGGCCCGAGGGGCUCCAGCGGAAGCCGACGAUGUCCGGGUGCUCCGCCAGCCAGUAGGCGACGUCGCCGACGAGCGCGGCCAUGGUCCGUCCGCCGGAUCGGUCGCUCGCCGGCGGAAAAAGGGGAGGUUGUUGCGGUCGUACGGUGCGGAGGAUGGAAAGGGAUUUGGGGAAUGGGGGCCGGAUAUAUAUACUCGCCUGGGCCUCCUCUCGUUUGUCGGUCAUCAUCUUGGUGGACCAGGUCAAAGGGCAGGCACAUCUACCUGGCCCAGCCCCAGGCCCACCAGGGCCCAUGAAGGCCCUGCGAUAUUUUUGAAAUAUGCAUAA